GAUAUAACUUCUAAAAGAGUUCUGAUACACAAAUAAUUAUACAUAGCACAACUCUUUGUAACUAAUUUCUAAUUAACCCACACAUCAGGUGUGAAUUGAUUUUUUAGCUAAAUCGGGCAUUUAAAAAAUUUAAAUCAGUUUUUAUUUAUUGAGUAUAGGGAAAGCGUGCAAAAGUUAUGAGUACAAAAAGUUCAAAUUUUGCUAAAAAUGAACAAUUAACAUUGAUGGCAGAACAUGGUUAACAUAGCUAAAAAUCAUGGAAUAUAAAGAUGAAAGCAUCCAAACAGAUAGAAUAAGGAUUUAAUAAAAAAGCAUCUGUAAAAAGAACCCUGCAACAAUUGCAAUCAAAAUAUGAAUUAAAAAAAAAACGAUGCUCGUAAGACUUUAUUACAAUAAACAUUAAACAAAGCUAAUGGAGUAUCCAGUGAUUUGAAAGAUAAUAUUUUAUUAGCGGUAAUAAACCUUAUGAAUACCAAAGCAGCAAUUAAACUGAAAUCAGUGCCUGACUCAAACAUAAAAGUAUGUCUUGUUCUUUUUCAGUAAUGAUUUUUAUUUUAAAUUUUUUAUAAAUGUAAUGUAACAACUAAACGUAAAAAUGGUAACCUUUUGAUAAAAAACUAUAACAAAUUUAGGUCUGAUGUCAAAUUUUAUUUUGAUUUUUUAAGAAACAAUAUUAUAUCUAGAAUAGAAUUUGAUUAAUACAUUCUAGAGAUGCACUUGUUAUCAGAACUCAUUUACCAAUGCCUGAGAGAAAGGUGAUAUUAAAAAGCAAAAUGUCGAAACCGACAAUAAUGCGAAAAUAAACAAUAACGUUUUGCCACAGUGGUUCAGAAUGCACUCCUUAAAAGCAAAGGAAAACCAUAAAUGCGAAAAUUCUAAAGUUUCGGAAACGUCAAAAUUUUACUUGGAAGGCAGAACGAAAAAAGAGGAAAAGAAACAAAGGAUGGUGUUGCUAAAUUUUGAAAUAUAAAAGAUAAAAAUGGAUGGCUUAUUACUAUAGUGUUUUAUCAUAAAGUUUAGAUAUAUUCAAUACAGUAUUUUGGUUUAGAACAUUGUUUUCAAUUAUUACCCAGCAAUAAUUUGAACAACAUACAGUACAACUAUCAUACCGUGUAACAAUCUUACAAUACCACAACCAUACAGUACAACAACCAUGGUGCUAUUGGUGGCUGCAAUAUUAUAGUGAAGCAAGUCCACUUUAUCCACUUUUCCAAUAAUAGUCAAACCUGGAUAAGUAGGAAUUCUAAGGGACAUUUUUAAAUCCCAUUCUAAAGAGUUAGUGUGAUAAUAUAAAAUCCCAGCUAUGAAGACCUCAAUCCUAUACACAGAGUUCUUUGACAUCUUGUUCCAAGUAUCCAUUAAGAAAAGGUUUUAAUAUGUCAUCAUCACUGUCCACAUUUAUCACAUACAGUGAUAUUCACACCUUUUCUUAACAAUCCUCCAAAAUUCGCAUUUAAUUGAUGGUUGUACAUGAUCUUUAUGAAAUUCGUCAACAUCAAUUUGUUUGAUAUGUACCAACUUUACAAAGAAACUGUUGAUCAGCCAGUAGGACGAACGUUAUAUGAAUCUAUAUUUCAUACAUUGAAUUUAUCACUCAAGAAACCAAAAGCAGACACUUGUCAGAAGUGUGAUUCUUUACAUGUAAUUAUCUCUUAGUAGUAUGCUUGAAGAAAGACACACAAUUCAGACCGAACUAGAAACCCAUCAACAAGACGCUGAGACUGUAUAUACUUGUAAAUCUACUGUCAAAAUCAAGGCUAAAGAAGAUCCAACGUUUAUCGCUCUGGUUUAUGAUUUACAACAUCGUAUUGACAAACAAGUAUUGCAUUUUAUAAAAGACAAUUGUGGACCUUCAAUUUAAUCAUGCACAAUUUGGAAGAUGAUCAAGCAACAUGUUACAUGUGGCAUGAGUGUAUGGGAGGUCGAGGAGGAAAUCGAGUUGCUUCUUGUUUGUUUAAGCGUUUAAAUAACUUGAAUCUCCAAAUCAAAUACAUUGUCUUGUACAGUGAUACAUAUGGAGAACAAAAUAAAGAAACGCAUGUGGCAGUGAUGUUUAUAAUGCUUUUGCAACUAAAGAAUAAUAUUGAAGUUAUUGACCACCAGUUCAUAGUUUCGGGCCACACACACAUGGAAUGUGAAUCGGAUCAUUCUUUAACAGAAAGAGCUCAAAAGCAAUCAAAAUCAAUUAUGAGAAUGUAAUCUGAAAAUGUUUAUGAUUUUUCAUCUUUACUAAAAGGUUCCCUAGUUGCUUCUAAAGUUACAACAACUGAAGAAAAAUUUGUAUGGAAAGGAACUAAAUGGCUUCGAUUCCAGCAAAUUGAUUCCAAGAAAAUUUACGUCAAGAAACACCUGAGUCAGAAAAUAAUUUAAAUUAAUACAUAAUAAAAAAAAGACUUACUUUCUCUCUUGUCCUUUAUCCAUACAUAAUUCCAUGAUUUUUACAAAAACUUACAAGUUGAUAAUGUACCAAAUAUUGAUCCAGAUAUCGAAGAAAGUGAGAAUGAAGAUGUAGAUUUAUAAAAUAUGUAUGCAAUAUUUUAAUUAAAUAACAUUACUUUUGACAGUUU